GAUGAUACCUCCGAUGCUUGCUCGCGGGGGAUUAGUGGCGAACGGGUGAGUAACACGUGAGUAACCUGCCCUUGACUCUGGGAUAAGCCUGGGAAACUGGGUCUAAUACCGGAUAUGACCUUCCAUCGCAUGGUGGUUGGUGGAAAGCUUUUGUGGUUUUGGAUGGACUCGCGGCCUAUCAGCUUGUUGGUGGGGUAAUGGCCUACCAAGGCGACGACGGGUAGCCGGCCUGAGAGGGUGACCGGCCACACUGGGACUGAGACACGGCCCAGACUCCUACGGGAGGCAGCAGUGGGGAAUAUUGCACAAUGGGCGCAAGCCUGAUGCAGCGACGCCGCGUGAGGGAUGACGGCCUUCGGGUUGUAAACCUCUUUCAGUAGGGAAGAAGCGAAAGUGACGGUACCUGCAGAAGAAGCGCCGGCUAACUACGUGCCAGCAGCCGCGGUAAUACGUAGGGCGCAAGCGUUAUCCGGAAUUAUUGGGCGUAAAGAGCUCGUAGGCGGUUUGUCGCGUCUGCCGUGAAAGUCCGGGGCUCAACUCCGGAUCUGCGGUGGGUACGGGCAGACUAGAGUGAUGUAGGGGAGACUGGAAUUCCUGGUGUAGCGGUGAAAUGCGCAGAUAUCAGGAGGAACACCGAUGGCGAAGGCAGGUCUCUGGGCAUUAACUGACGCUGAGGAGCG
rnacentral:rRNA from 1 species